CAAGCCCAUUCUAAAAUGUCAAGUGUUUCAGUUUUGAGAAGGAAAAAAAAAAAAGAAAGAAAGAAAGCAAGCAAGCUGAAAAAAACAUGACUCAUGACAAGGCUGACAAACAGAUCUGAAGCAUCUGAGGGGGACUUGCCAAGCACAAAGGCAAGAAGAUGUGAGCGCCGAGUGAGUCAAGCCAUCGCUAGCUAACCUGUCUCAUCACUUGGUGAGCUGAGCAGUGCAGUGGUGCCAGCAGGCGGACCCAGCUGCUGGGGGAUGACUACCUAAUGUCACAACCGUCUCCAAGCUGAGAGCCACAAGGCCUCCCCGCUCCCAGUGAGAACAGAAGACUGAGGGCCCAGACCAAGGCCUCGUUGGUGAUGAUGGAUGUGCAGGUGGCUUUUAAACCCCGGGUGGAGAGUGAGUUGGCGUAGGAAGCCAGCAGACCUAGGGAGACCUGAGAAUGAAGGAGAAAAUUUAAUAUGUGCCGGGAGAGCAAGGCCCAAACGAUGGGCUCUGAUAUCAAAGUGACCAGCUUCCGUGAGAGACACUCUCACCAUCCCUCGCUUUCGGGAAAUGCUCCCAGUGAACCUGGCCUUCAGGGCAGGCCCUGGUUGUAGCCGGUCUACUGACAUGUCAUUAAUCGGGCUGACAAAGGACGGUGGCUUUGUGUUCUUUCCAUCUCUUCGGUCCAGUCAGAACACGGACAGAGCAAUACUGCAGGAUCGCGACUGAAUGCAGAGUGAAGAGUGAAAACAGAUGCACAGAAAUCGAGCUCGCUGACAUCCUUAGAAAGUUGCAAGUGGCCCUUGCCUACACGGGUUCAGUUUGCUGUGCUUGACACUAGGGAACGGUCUAAAUUUGUUCUUCACAAUCCAUGCUAGGGCAGCAGUGUGGCACAAGUCUCAAGUGCAGCCGCAGGGAGAGCAGCUCCCAGGGCUGGCUGUUAAGCUCUGGUGCUCUAUAGCUUGGGGGCAUCGAAUGCAAUUUCAGUUUACAGCGUUUAAUCUCACCAUGCAUUUGUUGAGAUGAAAACACUGUUAACUGAUACAUUUAAGUCGAGAAGCACCUUUAGUGCUUCUGGCCAGGUGUUUCCUAGUUUUCUUAUGGGAGCUGGGGGGAUGGGUGUACUUCACACACACACCCACACACAGACACACACAGACACAGACACACACACACACACACACACACACACACACACACAUGCGCUUACCUGUUUGUUUCCCUAUGGAAACUCCACAUUGCUGGAGACUUAGAAUCGGCAUCAUCUGUACAAGGAAGAGUGAGGCUUCGGAUCAGAUGGAGGGCGUGUGCUUUACCUGCUGGGUGACUUGCAGCAAGCCAGGAACGUUUGUGUUUACUCAUUUUAUUAGUUUAAUGUGCUGUUGUAAUGGACUCCCAUGAACUUGUUGACUUAACACAGCACACAGCUAUCUUUUUUUGUUUUUCAUUCUGGAGGUCAUAAGUUCAAAUCAAUUUUAUUGAUUCAAAAAUCAAAUAUUGCCUGAGCUACAGCUUCUCUGAGGGCUCCUGGGAGAAAAGUUUCCUUGCCUUCCAUCU